rnacentral:misc_RNA from 1 species
UCUCCGUUGGUGAACCAGCGGAGGGAUCAUUACCGAGUUUACAACUCCCAAACCCCUGUGAACAUACCUGUUUUGUUGCUUCGGCGGUGCCCUCGCUCUCGCGGCGAGGCCCGCCAGAGGACCCAAACAGACUCUUUGACUUUGAUCUAGGAUUAUACUUCUGAGUGAUACAAAAAAUAAAAUCAAAACUUUCAACAACGGAUCUCUUGGUUCUG